GACGAACCGUGCGAACGUUGUUCGGAAUCACUGGGCUUAAAGGGCGCGUAGGCGGUCUGCCAAGUCCGGGGUGAAAGCCCCCAGCUCAACUGGGGAAGUGCCUUGGAUACUGGCGGACUUGAGGGAGGCAGGGGUUGUGGGAACUUCCGGUGGAGCGGUGAAAUGCGUUGAUAUCGGAAGGAACGCCGGUGGCGAAAGCGCACAACUGGUCCUCUUCUGACGCUGAGGCGCGAAAGCCAGGGGAGCAAACGGG
rnacentral:rRNA from 1 species